UACGUAGGGGGCUAGCGUUGUCCGGAAUCAUUGGGCGUAAAGCGCGCGUAGGCGGCCAGAUAAGUCCGGUGUGAAAGUCACAGGCUCAACCUGUGAAUGCCGCUGGAAACUGUCUGGCUAGAGUCCGGAAGGGGCGAGUGGAAUUCCUGGUGUAGCGGUGAAAUGCGCAGAUAUCAGGAGGAACAUCAGUGGCGAAGGCGGCCUUCUGGUCCAGUACUGACACUCAAGUGCGAAAGCGUGGGGAGCAAACAGG
rnacentral:rRNA from 1 species